rnacentral:rRNA from 1 species
CCUACGGCGGCUGCAGUGGGGAAUAUUGGACAAUGGGCGAAAGCCUGAUCCAGCCAUGCCGCGUGUGUGAAGAAGGCCUUCGGGUUGUAAAGCACUUUCAGUGGGGAAGAAAGCCUUGGGGCUAAUACCCUCGAGGAAGGACAUCACCCACAGAAGAAGCACCGGCUAACUCCGUGCCAGCAGCCGCGGUAAUACGGAGGGUGCGAGCGUUAAUCGGAAUUACUGGGCGUAAAGCGCGCGUAGGCGGUCUGAUAAGCCGGUUGUGAAAGCCCCGGGCUCAACCUGGGAACGGCAUCCGGAACUGUCAGGCUAGAGUGCAGGAGAGGAAGGUAGAAUUCCCGGUGUAGCGGUGAAAUGCGUAGAGAUCGGGAGGAAAACCAGUGGCGAAGGCGGCCUUCUGGACUGACACUGACGCUGAGGUGCGAAAGCGUGGGUAGCAAACAGGAUUAGAUACCCGAGUAGUC